GACGAACGCUGGCGGCGUGCCUAAUACAUGCAAGUUGAGCGCUGAAGGUUGGUACUUGUACCGACUGGAUGAGCAGCGAACGGGUGAGUAACGCGUGGGGAAUCUGCCUUUGAGCGGGGGACAACAUUUGGAAACGAAUGCUAAUACCGCAUAAAAACUUUAAACACAAGUUUUAAGUUUGAAAGAUGCAAUUGCAUCACUCAAAGAUGAUCCCGCGUUGUAUUAGCUAGUUGGUGAGGUAAAGGCUCACCAAGGCGAUGAUACAUAGCCGACCUGAGAGGGUGAUCGGCCACAUUGGGACUGAGACACGGCCCAAACUCCUACGGGAGGCAGCAGUAGGGAAUCUUCGGCAAUGGACGAAAGUCUGACCGAGCAACGCCGCGUGAGUGAAGAAGGUUUUCGGACCGUAAAACUCUGUUGGUAGAGAAGAACGUUGGUGAGAGUGGAAAGCUCAUCAAGUGACGGUAACUACCCAGAAAGGGACGGCUAACUACGUG
rnacentral:rRNA from 1 species